UACGGGGGGGGCAAGCGUUGUUCGGAAUUACUGGGCGUAAAGGGCUCGUAGGCGGCCAACUAAGUCGGACGUGAAAUCCCUCGGCUUAACCGGGGAACUGCGUCCGAUACUGGAUGGCUUGAGUUCGGGAGAGGGAUGCGGAAUUCCAGGUGUAGCGGUGAAAUGCGUAGAUAUGCGGAGGAACACCGAUGGCGAAGGCAAUCCCCUGGGCCUGCACUGACGCUCAUGCACGAAAGCGUGGGGAGCAAACAGG
rnacentral:rRNA from 1 species